rnacentral:rRNA from 1 species
UGCCAGCCGCCGCGGUAAUACGGAGGGUGCGAGCGUUAUUCGGAAUCACUGGGCUUAAAGGGUGCGUAGGCGGUCAUCUAAGUAGGGUGUGAAAUCCCCCGGCUCAACCGGGGAACUGCGCUCUAAACUGGAUGGCUUGAGUAAGAUAGGGGUGUGCGGAACUUCCGGUGGAGCGGUGAAAUGUGUUGAUAUCGGAAGGAACACCAGUAGCGAAAGCGGCACACUGGGUCUUAACUGACGCUGAGGCACGAAAGCUAGGGUAGCGAACGGGAUUAGAUA